GACGAACGCUGGCGGCGUGCCUAACACAUGCAAGUCGAACGAGAUCCAGAGGAGCUUGCUCCUUGAAGAUCUAGUGGCGAACGGGUGAGUAACACGUGAAGAACCUGCCCCGGACUCUGGGAUAACUCGAGGAAGCUCGAGCUAAUACCGGAUACCUUCUCGAGGUCGCCUGGCCAUGAGAAGAAAGUUUUUCGGUCUGGGAGGGCUUCGCGGACUAUCAGCUAGUUGGUGAGGUAACGGCUCACCAAGGCUACGACGGGUAGCUGGUUUGAGAGAACGAUCAGCCACACUGGGACUGAGACACGGCCCAGACUCCUACGGGAGGCAGCAGUGGGGAAUCUUGCGCAAUGGGCGAAAGCCUGACGCAGCAACGCCGCGUGCGGGAUGAAGGCCUUCGGGUUAUAAACCGCUUUCAGCAGGGACGAAAAUGACGGUACCUGCAGAAGAAGCUCCGGCUAACUACGUGCCAGCCGCCGCAGUAACAC
rnacentral:rRNA from 1 species